CACGUAGGGUGCGAGCGUUGUCCGGAAUUACUGGGCGUAAAGGGCUCGUAGGCGGCCAACUAAGUCAGACGUGAAAUCCCUAGGCUCAACCUAGGAACUGCGUCUGAUACUGGAUGGCUUGAAUCCGGGAGAGGGAUGCAGAAUUCCAGGUGUAGCGGUGAAAUGCGUAGAUAUCUGGAGGAACACCGGUGGCGAAGGCGGCAUCCUGGACCGACACUGACGCUGAGGCGCGAAAGCUAGGGUAGCAAACGGGGAUUAAGAA
rnacentral:rRNA from 1 species